AGCUCUGACAUGAUGAGAGACCUCAGCCCUUUGGCCACCAUCGCCUGUCCCACACAAAUUCUGGCUCCUGCACUACAGAUGGAGCCACAGCAUUUGUCCUGCAUUAUUCAUGCUCUCAGCGCUGGAAACGAAAAUCGAAAUAUAUAUAUAUAUAUAUAUAUACUCAUUUAAAGCUAUUUUUCAGAUCACUUCGAAAUUCAAAUUAAUUAAGAUUAAUUAAAAAUUAAAUAAAAAAUAAAAAGCUCCGAAAGUGAUUUUUUAUUUCACUUACAUCUUUAAUGUAGCAGCAACUCCAGUGGGGCCACUGUUUUUAGUUUCAUGUGGCACAACAAGAGAAACAGGGACUUGCCAUCCUAACGUGGCAGCACUGAGGAGAAGGACCACACCAGCAAAAGCCUUCACUUGAAGAAACAAAGGGCAAAAUACAUCUGACGAGCCAAAGUGGGGAUAAGGGAGGAAUGCUGCUGCCAAGGUGCCAUGUGAGAGCGGCCUCUGGUCCUUUUCCUUCCCCAGAACCGAGCAGAUUUCUUAACAGCUCUACAAAUGCAGAGUGCAGAGUGAGGGGGAAGAAGAGCCCCGUCCCUGAUGCCCCUCAGUGUGCAGCAGCCAUCUCCUGGCUUUAUCGCUCCUCAGACGUGUGGAAGAACCUUUAAUCUCUUGGAAGAACUGCCCUUUUCACAGUGGAAACACCCUGCCAUACUGGGAAUAUGAAUGUAAGAUGCUUUUGAAAAGCAAGUAAAUAUGUGGCCCACAGGGGAAAAAGGCUGCAUUUGAAUUUCAGGCCUGUGACUGAACAGCAAAACUCCUAAAGGCAGCGAAUGCAGAAGCAUUACGGGAUCCUCGCACAGACCCAAGUGUAAUCCCUGUUCAUAUCCCUUAUUGUUCAACCUCCCCAGCAGAGCUAAGGACAUGGCUCUUGUUAGCAGCCGCGUGGUGAGCGCUGGAGUCCAGAACCACCAGUUUCUGGUGGCUCCCCAACAUAGUUGCUUACCAGCAGCUUACUUGGUCAGGUGAAGAGAAUCUUGUGAGGAAAAGCAAGGCUGGUCUCCUGCGUUGUGGACAAUGCCGUAUAUUCAGAAACUAGGGGUCAACACUGUUUGAUGCACGGCUCCUCAAAUGCCUUCAUUCAGUUAAGAAUAUGUAUAUAUUCUUUCUAUACAAUAAUAUGUCUGAAAACGUGCUUGCAUUUCUUUUCCUAAAGAAUGUCUUGACCACAGAAUACUCAACUGGGUAAAACUACACAAACAUUAACCAUACAUUGGUCCUUUGCAUAAAGCAGAAUGAGUCUAAUGUUCAAAGAUGGACAAAAACAGAACUGUGUAGUUGUUGCCACAAAUAAUUUUAAGAAGGGCAGUGUGCUGGGUCCAGUAGCACCCCAUCAUUUUUAUUUCGAACAGCAUUAAACUAAUCUGUUUACAGAUUCCUUCAGAAAGUCCCUCAAAGGGACUAAUUUGCUAAUUGCAAAAUAAAAGCUGGAUUUUAAA
ensembl:lncRNA